rnacentral:rRNA from 1 species
CAGCCGUAAACUGUGCUCGCUAGGUGUCAGGCAUGGCGCGACCGUGUCUGGUGCCGCAGGGAAGCCGUGAAGCGAGCCACCUGGGAAGUACGGCCGCAAGGCUGAACUUAAGGAAUUGGCGGGGGAGCACCACAACGGGUGGAGCCUGCGGUUUAAUUGGACUCAACGCCGGGAAGCUCACCGGAUAAGACAGCAGAAUGAUUGCCGGGCUGAAGACCCUGCAUGACUAGCUGAGAGGAGGUGCAUGGCGUCAGUGACU